rnacentral:rRNA from 1 species
UACAGAGGUCUCAAGCGUUGUUCGGAUUCAUUGGGCGUAAAGGGUGUGUAGGUGGCGCGCUAAGUCGGGUGUGAAAUUUCGGAGCUUAACUCCGAAACUGCAUUCGAUACUGGCGUGCUUGAGGACUGGAGAGGAGACUGGAAUUCAUGGUGUAGCAGUGAAAUGCGUAGAGAUCAUGAAGAAGACCAGUGGCGAAGGCGGGUCUCUGGACAGUUCCUGACACUGAGACACGAAGGCCAGGGGAGGCAAACGGGAUUCAGAGUACCCUUGU